rnacentral:rRNA from 1 species
AGAACGAACGCUGGCGGCAUGCCUAACACAUGCAAGUCGAACGAGACCUUCGGGUCUAGUGGCGCACGGGUGCGUAACGCGUGGGAACCUGCCUUUAGGUUCGGGAUAACAGUUAGAAAUGACUGCUAAUACCGGAUGAUGUCUUCGGACCAAAGAUUUAUCGCCUUUAGAUGGGCCCGCGUUGGAUUAGCUAGUUGGUGGGGUAAAGGCCUACCAAGGCGACGAUCCAUAGCUGGUCUGAGAGGACGAUCACCCAGACUGGGACUGAGACACGGCCCAGACUCCUACGGGAGGCAGCAGUCGGGAAUUUUGCGCAAUGGACGAAAGUCUGACGCAGCAACGCCGCGUGAGGGAUGAAGGCCUUCGGGUUGUAAACCUCUUUUAUCAGGGAAGAUAAUGACGGUACCUGAUGAAUAAGUCACGGCUAACUACGUGCCAGCAGCCGC